rnacentral:tRNA from 1 species
GCCCGGGUGGCCCAGCGGUUUGGCGCCUGCCUUCGGCCCAGGGCAUGAUCCUGGAGUCGCGGGAUCGAGUCCCACUUCGGGCU